rnacentral:rRNA from 3 species
GCAACAGCUCAAAUUUGAAAUCUGGCGCAAGCCCGAGUUGUAAUUUGCAGAGGAUGUUUCGGGUGAAGCCACGGUCCAAGUCCCUUGGAACAGGACGUCAUAGAGGGUGAGAACCCCGUACCUGGCCGUCGGUGCCCCCCGCUGUGAAACUCCUUCGACGAGUCGAGUUGUUUGGGAAUGCAGCUCUAAAUUGGUGGUAAAUUCCAUCUAAAGCUAAAUACCGGCCAGAGACCGAUAGCGCACAAGUAGAGUGAUCGAAAGAUGAAAAGCACUUUGAAAAGAGAGUUAAAAAGUACGUGAAAUUGUUGAAAGGGAAGCGCUUGCGGCCAGACUUGCCCGCGGUUGCUCAGCCCGCCUUUUGGCGGGUGCACUCUUCCGCGGUCAGGCCAGCAUCGGUUUGGGCGGUCGGAUAAAGGCGCCGGGAACGUGGCCUCCCCUCGGGGAGGUGUUAUAGCCCGGCGCGCAAUGCGACCAGCCCGGACCGAGGUUCGCGCUUUGCUAGGAUGCUGGCGUAAUGGCCGUAAGCGGCCCGUCUUGAAACACGGACCAAGGAGUCUAACAUCUAUGCGAGUGUUUGGGUGUCAAACCCGUGCGCGUAAUGAAAGUGAACGGAGGUGGGAACCGCAAGGUGCACCAUCGACCGAUCCUGAUGUCUUCGGAAGGAUUUGAGUAAGAGCAUAGCUGUUGGGACCCGAAAGAUGGUGAACUAUGCGUGAAUAGGGUGAAGCCAGAGGAAACUCUGGUGGAGGCUCGCAGCGGUUCUGACGUGCAAAUCGAUCGUCAA